GGUUAGGAAGGCUUAUAGGAACUGCUCAACAACAGGCAUACAUUUCUGGCAGGGUGGGACGAGAACCAAGCUCUCCUGACAGAGUCCAGGGUUCGUGUGAUUAACAAUAUAUUACCAAACCACCCAUCUUAUGCUGGUAUAUUUUAAUCUGGAAAAAUACUGAAAUCCAUUCCAUAACAGAAGUCUGCAUCUCUUUCCUUGAAUUGUAAAAAAGUAUGUGCAUAUAUCAUGCCUAACAUUAAAUGGAACCUUCUGCCCCAGCUUCAUAUCUGACAAUUUCACAACUGUGAUUUGAAAAGAUGUAUUUUCCACUAGCACUCCUAGAUUCCCCUUAUUUCCUCAUCCACACACAGCAACUGACGCCGAUUGCCACAGAAAGUCGAACAGGUGUGAAAGAGGCACUAGCAACCAGAUGCUCAAAGCCCGUCUAGCAAACACGAAGCACUCUGUGGGCUGAGCAAGACACCACUCCCCCUGAAGACCUUUGCAAGUGCACAGGAACCUGGGAGUCUGGCGCAAGGGGAGAGGAGCUGCCCGGCCUCCGGUGACGCAACAGGCGGGCUGCCGGGCCUCCACAGCGGCCACUCGGGCCUCAAGAACGGCAUCUAACAAUCAUCUCCGUUUCCGAUUUUGCAUCGGCCAGCUUGUCAGCUUGUGGAAAAAUGGCUGCCAAGGCCCCACCCUGAGGACUGACUCCAGGAGGUGAGGACCCAGGAGAGUGCACUUGCAGAAGCUCCCACCCCCUCCAGUGACUGGUGCACGGAGUUAGGAGCAGCCCUGGUACGCGGGACUCAAACAGGACUCCAUGGCCCGAGCGCUCGGCCUCCCGAUCAGUUCUCAGCCGCCGCUCGGCCGCAGCCCCUCCGCGGGUCACUCCUGACGGUCCCAUCCGAGAGUCCACCCUCCCGGCCACGAUGCACUGCACAAACGUCUGCCUCACCUCCGCGUUGGCUCCGUCUCUCCUCACCCGACAGACAGGGCGUCAGGCCUUGUGUUUGGACCCCCGCCCCCCACCUCCCCAAACUCCCUGAACCACGCGGCCCGGCCUGAGCCCCCAACUAUACCUCGUCCCCAUUACCCCCGGCCUCGCCCACUCCCAGCCUCGUGGCCCCCAACCCCCUCAAGGUGCUCUCGGCACAGCCAAGCGUGACCCCACCGCCUCCCGCCCCAAAUCGGGCGUCCCCGCUCCCAGGACCUCUCCACACUUGACUCACCAAAUGCAACGGGACCGCUCACACUCUCGCCGGCUUCUGCCCCCGCCCGCGCGCGCCGUCGGGCCGGCUUCUCCCCGUCCCGCCUACAGCCGGAUCCAGCCAAUCAGAAGGAUUCGUGUACCAGAAAGAACCCAAAACUCCAGAGAUUGAUCCUGGGACCAUAGUUUCCUGAAAUGUUCAAGGAAGAAUAAAGGAAACGCUCAUCAUGGCCACACUGAGUCAGAGAUCCAUGAGAAAAUGAGGCCUAAAAAGUAAAAGGCUAAAUCCUUAAUUGCCCCCCAGGAGAAGUUGGAAAACCUCAGGAUGGUCUAGAGCCCCACAGGGUCAUGGAGAUGCUCAAGAGAACAUCACAGGGCUCUUUCCAUCUGGGUUCUUGGUUGAAAUGGCUUGUCAUAGACCCUGUAUCCUGCUGGAACCUGUGUGUUGUAUGUCGUCUAGGAUGGCCCGGGCUGCAAAGGAAUCCAGGACCAGCAGCUUCCAAAGCUCUCCACGAUGUUGUCUUCUUUGCUUGGUACCUGAGGGGAUGGCCAACUGCUGCUGCUUGCCUUCCCAGAUGUCUGGCUGGCUGGGCAUCCUGGUUUCCAGGCACUUGAUGGAGACCGGAUAUCAUCAAGUCCAGCCCUCUGUCACUGCUCUGCAGACAGGGAAGCAGCCCCAGGAAGUGGAGUCUUUGUGUACAAAAAGCACUGGGACAAGUCUCUGGUCAGAGGAGGUGAUCUGGGAAGACCUUCUACACAGGAGCACGUGUUCACUCAGUAGCUGUUAUUGAGUGUCUUACUGCUUGGCAAGUACUGGCUGGGCUGUGCUGGGAGGGACUCUCAGAUGAGUAAGAAAUAAGUUUUUUCCUGGAAUAGCUAACUAGAUCUGAGGUGGAGGGGGCUGGCUAGAGAGAAGGAGCAAAGAAUUAAACAGAAUAUUCAUGGACCUGUGGACAAGAGAGCACUCGGGUGGGGAGUCAGCAAGUGCAGGAGGCUCCUAUCCCCUGUGUUUCUGGGAAGCGACUUUCCGUCUCUGAGCCUUGACAACCCUGUCUACAAAAUGGGUGUGAUCACUUCAGCUUGUCCUGACCCACAGAGGAGGCAUCUGGAGAAUGACUACAAGAACUUUUACAUGUAAAAUGUGGUUGAAGGUAUUUUGACAAAUGAAUAAAUAUGUUGAUUUUGAACA